rnacentral:lncRNA from 1 species
CGCCUCAGACACUCACAACUGAAUGUCCAGGAAGAUCCGCUUCUCCUCCCCAACGUGGAUUUUCCACACACAGUCUUCACCUUCUGCAUAGGGCUCUGGCCAGUUUGGAGACAGCACCACCCCAGCCACAGCAGAGAGCUCCCCACCACACAUGGCUGCAACAGACAGACAAGAGGACACCCUUGUGAGGAAGCCAACACAGCAUAAGUGGUGGCUCAGGAAGGCUCCUUUCCCACAGAGUGCCUCAAUAUACUGACCAGAAGCAGAGGGCCAUAAGAUCUUUAUCAACUUCCCCAGGGCUUCAGCCACACCCAGAUUACCCACUCCACCCUCUCUAUGCUGAGGAGGAGCAGUUGGUGCAGUCAGCUCACCUGUCUUUCUCAUGCAGCAGUAGCCUUUCAAGAUGCAAGUGAAGCUUCUGGCCCUCUGGAGCCUCGAUGGUCCACACACAGAGCUGGCUGCCAUUGGUGUUUCCCGGGUAACUGGGGGACAGAACUCGGCCGAUGGUGGCAUUGUGCACUGCUCCUCCACACGGGGCUGGGUGCAGAAAGUGACAUGCCAGGAGGUGAGGGAAGAACAGAGAGGAGUGGUGGGAUUGGUCUCCCCUGAUUGCACUCAAGCCCUCUAGCCAGGGUGGAGCUGGGAACACAUGAAGGGGUCACUGUCCUGUUAACCCCCUCCAUGCCUCUAUCUGCCAAUGCCACUCUGCUGUUGCAGGGGGGAACCUCAAUUUAAGACUGUUCUGUGGUGCUGAUUGUGCCUAGACAUUCAUUAAAAAAAUUCACAUUUAUUC